GCAAGCAGAUCUCCGUGAGUUUGAGGCCAGCCUGAUCAACAGAGAGAGUUCCAGGACAGCCAGGACCACACAGAGAAACCCUGUCUCAAAAA
rnacentral:miRNA from 1 species